UACAGGGCUAAUGUCUUGUAAUUGGAAUGAUGGUGACCCAAACCCUCACCAGAGUAGCAAUUGGAGGGCAAGUCUGGUGCCAGCAGCCGCGGUAAUUCCAGCUCCAAUAGCGUAUAUUAAACUUGUUGCAGUUAAAAAGCUCGUAGUUGAACUUUAGCGUGUUCGAGUUUGCCAUUCGUUUGGCCUUUUCGAGUUCGCUUUUGGGUUUUCCCUUUUUACUUUGAGAAAAUUAGAGUGUUUCAAGCAGACUUUUGUCUUGAAUACUUCAGCAUGGAAUAAUAGAGUAGGACUUUGGUUCUAUUUUGUUGGUUAUUGAACCUUAGUAAUGGUUAAUAGGAACG
rnacentral:rRNA from 1 species